AGCGAACGCUGGCGGCAGGCUUAACACAUGCAAGUCGAGCGGGCGUAGCAAUACGUCAGCGGCAGACGGGUGAGUAACGCGUGGGAACAUACCUUUUGGUUCGGAACAACACAGGGAAACUUGUGCUAAUACCGGAUAAGCCCUUACGGGGAAAGGAUUUAUCGCCGAAAGAUUGGCCCGCGUCUGAUUAGCUAGUUGGUGAGGUAAUGGCUCACCAAGGCGACGAUCAGUAGCUGGCUGAGAGGAUGAUCAGCCACAUUGGGACUGAGACACGGCCCAAACUCCUACGGGAGGCAGCAGUGGGGAAUAUUGGACAAUGGGCGCAAGCCUGAUCCAGCCAUGCCGCGUGAGUGAUGAAGGCCCUAGGGUUGUAAAGCUCUUUUGUGCGGGGAAGAUAAUGACGGUACCGCAA
rnacentral:rRNA from 1 species